UACGUAGGGUGCAAGCGUUAAUCGGAAUUACUGGGCGUAAAGCGCGCGCAGGCGGUCUUCCAAGUCAGUGGUGAAAGCCCGGAGCUCAACUCCGGAACUGCCAUUGAAACUGUAAGACUUGAGGAUGAGAGAGGUGAGUGGGAUUCCCAGUGUAGAGGUGAAAUUCGUAGAUAUUGGGAAGAACACCGGUGGCGAAGGCGGCUCACUGGCUCAUAUCUGACGCUCAGGCGCGACAGCGUGGGGAGUCAAACAGGA
rnacentral:rRNA from 1 species